AUGCGGAGCGAGGCCUCGUUGACCCGCUCCGGGGCCACGUUCCCGUCCCGUUCGCUUGGCUCUGGCGCCUUUGCCAGCCGCAGUGGCCCCACGGCAUGGCCGAGCCCCUGCAGCUCGUCCCGGCGCUGCUGCUGCUGCUCGCGGCUUCGUGCUGCCGGUCCCUGCACAGAAACCAGCCCUGCCGCGGCGGCGCGGCCCCUUAGCCCCCAAAAUCGCCUCCGUGGCGGUGGCUCCGGGCACUGCCGCACCGGGAAGGGGUUUUGCAGCGCCGCCGCAGCACGUGCAACACGUUGCAUCGCCGGGAGCGUCGCACCGGUGCGGCCCCAUCGCACCGCGCGUCUUCCAGGCCGUGGCAGCGCGGGUGCUUCGGGAAAGCUGCCGUCCGUGCCCAAGCCGGCGGCCAGGGAACGCCGGGCCCCGAAUCGCUCGAAAGCAAGCGACAGUGGCUUGAAACCGGCAGCCGAAGCAUCUCCCUGUCCUCUGAGCCGGGAGGCGAGGAUAAGCCAUGGGGAAAGAGGGGACUUUCCGCCGCGGCAAAACGCCUUAGCGCUUCCUCCGCGAGCUCAUCCGCUGACGGCUUUUCCCGGCCGGGAGCAGCGGGGCGGCGCCGGCCAAGCGCGGGAAGGCAGCACCAGCCGGCAGGGACUGAACCCGCCGGCCAGGGGGCUGGAGAACGAGUCCGGGCUUUCCUUUCCCCUCGUCUCCUUCGUCGCCGCCGGAGCCCGCGGAAGCCACUGCCGUUGGCGGCCGGCUGUGGUGCGCAGGAUGCGGCUCGCUGCGCGCGCCGCGCGUUUGCUUCGGCUCCGGCCCUGGCACAUGCCGGCCGCACCGCUCGUGGCCCGGCGCCAGCCCUCCUCCCGUGUAGGUAAUGAGGUCAUUUUUCCAUGGAUUCCCCCUUUUUACAUACUGUAUAUGGAAACGCGACGGAGAGCGUUCCCGUCGGUUAGCGGGAGCGCGCCGCGCCGGCCCCCGAACGGCUUUGUCUUCAUUAGCGCUCCGCGUUAA
rnacentral:lncRNA from 1 species